rnacentral:rRNA from 1 species
CACGGGGGUUGCGGGCGUUGUCCGGAAUUACUAGGCGUAAAGGGCAGGCAGGCGGAUCCAUAAGUUUAUCGUUUAAGGCGUCGGCUUAACCGGCGUAGGGCGGUAGAUACUGUGGAUCUGGAAUGCGGUUGGGGAAGACAGAAUUCCUGGUGUAGCGGUGGAAUGCGCAGAGAUCAGGAGGAAUACCGAAGGCGAAGGCAGUCUUCCAAGCCGUUAUUGACGCUCAACUGCGAAGGUGUGGGUAUCAAACAGGAUUAGAUACCCGCGUAGUCCCUGAGCGGG